rnacentral:lncRNA from 1 species
AUGUCACCCUCGCCCGUCCACGCCAGCGCAUCCUCCUCGUCCGCGUCUGCGUCCAAACGCGGCUCCGACCCGUCCGAAUCGCCGUACCCGUCCGAGUUGACCGCCCUCGACGCCUCGUCCAGAGUAGCUUAAAACGCGUGCUUGCCAAAAAUGUCGAACUAGAGGCAGGGUCUAUAACUCCUAGGCUCGUCCACUGAAGACGACUGGAAAAGGCCCCCCCCGGCCAAAUAAGCAUUAAACCUUAGACAUUUUAUCUCACUCACUUCUCACACGCACAGUAUCGACGCUUCCCGCUCACUGGGCGCCCCUAUCAGGGUUACUUACGACAAAAAACGCUCAGGUCCAUUUUUGUGAACCAACCAAGUUUAGGUUACGAACGCGAUUAAACUUGAGGAUAGAACAAUCAGUCACCUGAUUGUAACUAAUAUCAUACGAAGGUAACACUAUAUAUCGAUCACACCGUGCGUGCAAUAUGUGUGCAGAAAUUCGUACCUCCGAAGGUAACGGAUAGCAACGUUACCCCAGCGAGCCGCGGACAUCCUCGCGCAUCAGGGCCUCGAAGUCGAAAAUGCCGCGAUGCAUAUGGGGUGCAGAGGAAUGGCUUAUAUAGUCUUAUGUUAAAAGUUAUAGUUAGCUAUCUAUCUAGUAGUAUAGGUAAUGUACUAAGGAAACGCGGCUUGGCACAGAGAAACGCGCAUGUGCAUCGUCAUCGAGCUUGCCUUAAAUAUCACGAUGAAACUUGACUUACAAAUUCAUGCAUGAUUGAGGUGAUCCCACUUUCCGCGCGAGACGAUUGCAUUUCUAGAAGCUCGUCCUUUGUCCCAUGGAACUCUGCGAGCACACUUGAAAUGGUAGCUUGAUAGCAGAUGACUAAAGUCGGAAAUUCAAAUCGACGAUUUGGAGAUGAGUAUAAUUCUGCGAGUUGCCAUGCUCGGUGGGUGACGUGUAAUGACCUUUUGACGCUGUGUAGGAUACCAAGGCGAUGAUCCUGAACAUUUCCUUGGAUAGCAAAUUCCUGCCUGAAUGCAUCCAGGCAUGUUAUAGGAAGACCCAACAAUUUGCUGUUGAAUUCUGUUUCAUUCAGACUUGCCAUGGGCUGUAAGUCCAAUAAAAGCUUUGCAGAAUGUAUAGCCUGGACAUCGAGCGGAAGUUUGUCGUUGACCUCGAAUGCCCCUGGGUUAGUAAAGAGAAGGAGCCCGAUGGCCGAGUGCUCGCCGUCGUUGGCGUGAAUUGCUUCUUUAACCCAACUAUUCGUUGACACGCCAUUUGUGUUAUUGUCAUAGAUGGCCGCGUCCUGUUGUUGUGCUGCCAUUUCAAAUGCAAUCCGCGUGCCAAAAGAACCUAUACCACCAUAUAUAAUUUUAUCGCCCCUCGAAAAUUCAAGGGCGGUAGACAUAAUAGACCGAUAUCGUGCUGCCAAUGAUUGAACAUCAUAAUCGCACAAGAAGGAGGAUGAUUGGUGCUGGCUCUGCCCUUCUUUACUUUCGUUGAUAUUUGACUUUCCACGACCCACAGCCCGGAUGCAGAAUGCAGCAGUUGCCAUUUUUUUGGUGACAGAGCGCAAAAAGUGAAUAUCGCCAGUGUGAUCAUGUAUAAAGACCAUGGCUGGUUCUUUAGUUGAUGAAUUUAGACGCACCACGUCAACUGGAAUUUCAGAAUGAAG